GCAAACUUGGUCAUUUAGAGGAAGUAAAAGUCGUAACAAGGUCUCCGUUGGUGAACCAGCGGAGGGAUCAUUACCGAGUUUACAACUCCCAAACCCAAUGUGAACGUUACCAAACUGUUGCCUCGGCGGGGUCACGCCCCGGGUGCGUCGCAGCCCCGGAACCAGGCGCCCGCCGGAGGGACCAACCAAACUCUUUCUGUAGUCCCCUCGCGGACGUUAUUAUUUACAGCUCUGAGCAAAAAAUUCAAAUGAAUCAAAACUUUCAACAACGGAUCUCUUGGUUCUGGCAUCGAUGAAGAACGCAGC
rnacentral:misc_RNA from 1 species